UACGUAGGGUGCAAGCGUUGUCCGGAAUUAUUGGGCGUAAAGAGCUCGUAGGCGGCCACUCAAGUCGAAUGUGAAACCUCGAGGCUUAACCUCGAGCCUGCAUUCGAUACUGGGCGACUAGAGUCUGGUAGGGGGAUCUGGAAUUCCUGGUGUAGCGGUGGAAUGCGCAGAUAUCAGGAGGAACACCGGUGGCGAAGGCGGGAUCCUGGGCCAGUACUGACGCUGAGGAGCGAAAGCGUGGGGAGC
rnacentral:rRNA from 1 species